rnacentral:lncRNA from 1 species
ACCGGCAAAUAGUGAAAAGGAGGUUGGCCGUUAACGGUUACAGAGAGAAGGAGAAGAAGAGAGUAAGAGUAUGUACAUAGACGUGAAUAUAUAUAGGGUUAAGGAGGAACGCAGGCAUGCGUGGAAGAGGAGAGUUGCGUGUGUAAGAGACUGGCGGAAGCGUUUUGCCAUGGGUUUGUCGCACGUCUACGUCCGCCCCUCCAAAUAUCUCCGUCAUCAUUAUUUCCUCCUCUUUCUUAGAUCACGGCCGUCCGUUAAUGUGUUCCAAUCAUGAAGCGACGGUUCUGAUUUGAUUGAAUUUAAUCGGUGUUGGAUCCUUUCUGUUUUUGUGAACGAACACGAAGCUGGACAUUCGUUUGCUUAUAAUUAUCGCAGUCAUUAAUUUGUGCUAAAAGGCGAUUACUUUGGGUUAAAGUGAUGGGAUG